GGGCAGGUGGUCUAGUGGUAAUGACGUUAGCCGUGUAAGCUGAAGUGAAGACCCGGGUUCGAUUCCCGGCUCGGCCA